rnacentral:rRNA from 1 species
CCUACGGGGGGCUGCAGUAAGGAAUAUUGGUCAAUGGACGAAAGUCUGAACCAGCCAUCCCGCGUGCAGGAUGAAAGCCCUAUGGGUUGUAAACUGCUUUUAGCAGAGAAGAAAAGCUUUCAUUAAUGAGAGUCUGACGGUAUCUGCAGAAUAAGCACCGGCUAACUCCGUGCCAGCAGCCGCGGUAAUCCGGAGGGUGCGGGCGUUAUCCGGAAUUACUGGGGCGAAGGCGGAGUAAGGCGGAGGAGGAGAAAUCUUGUCGCUUAACGAUAAAAUGGCCAAUGAUACUGGUACUCUUGAAUUGGGUUGAGGUUAGCGGAAUGUGACAUGUAGCGGUGAAAUGCAUAGAUAUGUCAUGGAACACCAAUUGCGAAGGCAGCUAACUGGGCCUUGAUUGACGCUGAGGCACGAAAGCGUGGGUAGCGAACAGGAUUAGAUACCCUUGUAGUC